rnacentral:rRNA from 1 species
UACGAAGGGUGCAAGCGUUGUUCGGAAUUACUGGGCGUAAAGCGCGCGUAGGCGGGCUUGUAAGUCGAUUGUGAAAGCCCUGGGCUUAACCUGGGAAUGGCAGUCGAAACUGCAAGUCUUGAAUGUCUGAGAGGAUGGCGGAAUUCCCGGUGUAGUAGUGAAAUACGUAGAUAUCGGGAAGAACACCUGAGGCGAAGGCGGCUAUCUGGCGGUACAUUGACGCUGAUGCGCGAAAGCGUGGGGAGCAAACAGG